GCAGGUUAGAGCCUGGCAAUGCCGUUUGGGUGUGUGACUCUGGGCGACAAGAAGAACUAUAACCAGCCAUCGGAGGUGACUGACAGAUAUGAUUUGGGACAGGUCAUCAAGACUGAGGAGUUCUGUGAAAUCUUCCGGGCCAAGGACAAGACGACAGGCAAGCUGCACACCUGCAAGAAGUUCCAGAAGCGGGACGGCCGCAAGGUGCGGAAAGCUGCCAAGAACGAGAUAGGCAUCCUCAAGAUGGUGAAGCAUCCCAACAUCCUACAGCUGGUGGAUGUGUUUGUGACCCGCAAGGAGUACUUUAUCUUCCUGGAGCUGUGAGUGUGGGUCUGGGGACCCAAGAUUCCCCAGCGCCCAGGGCUUUCACCUGUCCCACCCUCUGCAGCUAAGGAAACCCCCUUUCUGGACCCUUGGCGUCCCAGGUCCCUGUGCCUUGCUCAGCCAGCUGCCUGGCGUAGGCAGCUCACCCAAGUGCUCCUGCCCUACCCCUGAUUCUGCCCACGCCAGGCUCAGGGGCUGGUGUCCCUCAGGGCCACGGGGAGGGAGGUGUUUGACUGGAUCCUGGACCAGGGCUACUACUCGGAGCGAGACACAAGCAACGUGGUACGGCAAGUCCUGGAGGCCGUGGCCUAUUUGCACUCACUCAAGAUCGUGCACAGGAAUCUCAAGCUGGAGAACCUGGUUUACUACAACCGGCUGAAGAACUCGAAGAUUGUCAUCAGUGACUUCCAUCUGGCUAAGCUAGAAAAUGGCCUCAUCAAGGAGCCCUGUGGGACCCCCGAGUAUCUGGGCAAGCAGGGGGUGGGGCAGGGGCAGGGGGAUAAUGGGGGGCAGCCUUCAGGGAGCUGCUCUGGGCAGGGGGAAAAUGUGCUCAUCUCAGGAAGCUGGUGUGGAUGGUACUGGACCUGGCUAGGCCUGAUACUGACCAGCAGAUGGGCGCUGUGUUUGUAGCCCCAGAAGUGGUAGGCCGGCAGCGGUAUGGACGCCCUGUGGACUGCUGGGCCAUUGGAG
rnacentral:sRNA from 1 species